AAACGACUCUCGGCAACGGAUAUCCCGGCUCUCGCAUCGAUGAAGAACGUAGCGAAAUGCGAUACUUGGUGUGAAUUGCAGAAUCCCGUGAACCAUCGAGUCUUUGAACGCAAGUUGCGCCCGAGGCCAUUUGGUUAAGGGCACGUCUGCCUGGGUGUCACGU
rnacentral:rRNA from 1 species